rnacentral:rRNA from 1 species
AGCGAACGCUGGCGGCAGGCUUAACACAUGCAAGUCGAGCGGGCAUCUUCGGAUGUCAGCGGCAGACGGGUGAGUAACACGUGGGAACGUACCCUUCGGUUCGGAACAACUCUGGGAAACUGGAGCUAAUACCGGAUACGCCCUUAUGGGGAAAGGUUUACUGCCGAAGGAUCGGCCCGCGUCUGAUUAGCUAGUUGGUGGGGUAACGGCCUACCAAGGCGACGAUCAGUAGCUGGUCUGAGAGGAUGAUCAGCCACACUGGGACUGAGACACGGCCCAGACUCCUACGGGAGGCAGCAGUGGGGAAUAAUGGACAAUGGGCGCAAGCCUGAUCCAGCCAUGCCGCGUGAGUGAUGAAGGCCUUAGGGUUGUAAAGCUCUUUUGUCCGGGACGAUAAUGACGGUACCGGAAGAAUAAGCCCCGGCUAACUUCGU